AUACGGAGGAUGCAAGCGUUAUCCGGAUUUAUUGGGUUUAAAGGGUGCGUAGGCGGUUUGCUAAGCGGGAGGUGAAAUGCCGGCGCUCAACGUCGGAAGUGCCUCCCGAACUGGUGGACUUGAAUGACUCUGCCGUGGGAGGAACGUGUAGUGUAGCGGUGAAAUGCUUAGAGAUUACACAGAACACCGAUUGCGAAGGCAUCUCACGAAGGGUUGAUUGACGCUGAGGCACGAAAGCGUGGGGAUCAAACAGGAUUAGAUACCCUGGUAGUCCACGCAGUAAACGAUGAUGGCUAACCGCUGGGUUUAUCAGUUCAGUGGCCAAGCGAAAGCGAUAAGCCAUCCACCUGGGGAGUACGACCGCAGGGUUGAAACUCAAAUGAAUUGACGGGG
rnacentral:rRNA from 1 species